UACAGAGGGUGCAAGCGUUGUUCGGAAUUAUUGGGCGUAAAGGGCGCGUAGGCGGUGCUGUAAGUCUGUAGUGAAAUCUCUGGGCUCAACUCAGAGUCUGCUAUAGAAACUGCAGUGCUAGAGUGUGGGAGAGGUGAGUGGAAUUCCCGGUGUAGCGGUGAAAUGCGUAGAUAUCGGAAGGAACACCUGUGGCGAAAGCGGCUCACUGGACCAUUACUGACGCUGAUGCACGAAAGCUAGGGGAGCAAACAGG
rnacentral:rRNA from 1 species